rnacentral:lncRNA from 10 species
AAAUCUCAAAGCUCCCAACAGUCCAAGGUUUUGCCCAGAUGGUUGAUGAGAGAGUUUCUGCUGUAAAAAGACUUUAAAUCAUAUGGCUUGAUUUGGGAGCAUGUUGUUAAUAUGGUGUCAGGUUGUUUGCCAAUUAAAAUAUCUUCGGCCAGGGUUGGAAUUUUAGCACUAGUCUGUAGUCAGUCCCUACCGUUUAACCAAUGACUGUGGAAUCUUUGCCUCAGUUGUCAGUUCAGUUGGUGAAGGAAAAGUCAGUGAGGUGUUUGGGCUGUAGGGCUUCUAUUAGCCAAUCUUGAUGAAAUUUAGUGGGAUCCCCAGGAAUAACCGUCUUUUGAACACCAGUACUAAGUCCAUGAAGUUCUGUCAACUGAUGCAUUUUACCAAAUGUUAAAGUUAAUUCAGAAUCUAUGUUAUAAGCACACACACACACAAAUACUUGUCACAGUUAUCAAAUACAGAAACUAGAAAACGUGGUUAUUAGAACUAAACUCUCCAAUUAGAAGGCAGAUAGGCAGAACAGAAUUUGAAAAAGCAUGAUCCAACUCUACACUGUCUAAAACCGACUCUUUUUAGAUUCAAAGACCAAAUUGUUUGACAGUGAAAGGCACCGAGGACAGUGGCCCUACUACGCACCUUUCAAAAUUCAGAGCCCUGGAUAUCGACGGUUUUUAAAUUUUUAUUUUUCCCACCAGAGAGGACUUAUGCGCUCUCCAGGAGGCCUCCUGCUGGAGCACCUCCCUCCCGAAGCCAAUGGAUUCUUCAGGACGCUAAUAACAAGAGUAAUCUCAUAUAAAACUUUUUACUAGGAAACUGACAGGAGAGUGUGUGUUUGAAAAUCAGCCCCAGAUCCCAUCCACACAUAAUCACCUCAGUCUCUGUAAAAAGCAAAAGCUAACAGAAAAGCUGGUUUGUUCUCUCUGCAAAGAAAGUUCAAGGUAAGGUAAGAAGGAGGAGGCUAACACACAUAAAGUCAGACUAAAGAUUUGGUUCUAUUCAUUUUCAAAUGCCAAUCUCACUUUUCAUUCUGAGUCCUCCUGGUGCCUCCAGGGCAGAUUAGAAUUGAGGCUCCUGGGCUUGAAACAUGUGUAAAACGUGUGUGUGGGGAUAAGAACCAUCUAAUCAGUUCACCUUCUCUCUGCCUUUUGGGACACAUGAAUCCCAAAUGCAGAAUAUAGUGUCCUUCUAACUUGGCCUUGAAAAAAUUUGUUUUUGUUCUCAACAGUGUGCUGUCUAUUUCCAACUCCUCAGAAAACUUCAGGGUCAAGAAAACAUCUCAAUCAACUCCUAUUCACAACAUUUUAGUAAAGAUAACAGCAUUUCCCGGAUAAUUUUCACCUAUCUUUAAAACAUUACUUUAUUACAACUAAUCAAUAUAGCAUAGUCUGUUUUCAUCCAAGGAAAUUUGAUGGUUUUGAACACAGGAUUUAUCCAAGAUGGGUGAAAAGGAAAACAGCAAAGCAUUUAGCCACCAAAAGAAAUAAAAAUCCACUUUAUCAUGAGAUUAAUACUGUGAUUCCCGCUGUUUUCUUUUUCCUUGCAUUUUCCUAAUAUGCCUUUACUGAUCCGUUUGCUGUGAACCCUAUGUUAUUUCCAUGUGUCAAGUGGGUCUUGUGUUGCCAGCUUCUAUUUGAAGAUUGCCUUUGCACUCAGUGUAAGUUUCUGUCAGCAGUAGUUUCACCUAUCCCUGGAAUUAUAUUGAUUUUUAUUCUGGAAAACAGUUAUUUGUAAAGUUUGGUAUUUUAGAUUCUUGCUUUAAAACUUUGUAAGAAAGGAUCAGUGUUGUGUUUAGUUUAGAGUGAAUCGUUCUCCACUAAUGAGGAAAAUUCUUUCUGAGUACUCUAUCUGAUGUCCUAUGAAUUAUGAGGUUUCCAAGUCUGGCUAGUGGGAACAUGCACUGUUCCCAAACAUGUGUGAACUUAAGGAAUUAUUUCCUUUAAUCCUUUUCGGUAGAUCAUUUCCUGAUCUAGGGUAGUUUCCCUACAGACAUGUGAUGAUCAGAAUGAUCAGUACUAGUU